AUUAAGUCGGGAAGUGGAGUAAUUUUCUGCCGAGUUUAUUUUAAGAAACUUAUAAUUAGCUAAGAUUCAGCCGAGAAAGAAAAACUUUUAUUAUUUUUUAAUCCGGAAACGGUACAGCUGUCGACUUUAAUCCUUAUAUGGACCUCCUCCCCGCUCUUCCGUUACCUAACCUGUUUUUCCUCCGCGUUUUCGAAUUACCCAAAUCUUCUGUUCUUGCGUCGCGACGAGCGUGGCGUCGGCAUUCUUCUUCUUCUUUACUUCCCUAGAUCAGCACCGCUGAGGACGAGAACGAGGAGGAAGAGGAGGAGGAGGAGGUGCAGAAGCUGCCCUCAUCGGAGACAAAGUGAGCGAUCCGUCCCCACUUCCCUAUUUUCUUGCCUCUGCGUCGAAAUCCCGUGAUGGUUCUUGAUUUCUAGUUUGGUCUUGCAGUUAUAUGGUACUUUUCUCAAAUAUCAUGUUUUCUUGAUUAUUCUCUGAGUUCUUGUGAUGGUUCUUGAUUUCUAAUAUGGGUUUGGGUGAUAUAUUGGUGAUAGUUUUUUGGAUUCUAGAGAUGGUUCUUGGUUUCUAUUUUGGCUGGGUAUUUUAUGGUAGGUUACCUGUUCCUAAUUUCUUUCAUUUUCUUGGAUUCUAGUGGUGAUUCUUUUUAGGUUUUGAUGUUAUAUGGUGAUCUCCCUGUUGUGUUAUGUGCAGCUAUUUAAUGUGAUUUCUGUUGUUUAUUCUUUUGGAUAAUGUAUCUGUGCAGUCUUUUAUGAUGUUUUAAUUCUGAAUGAUAUAUUGGUGGCUAAAACAAGUUUCUUUAGUUCAGAUUUAAUGAGGUCUACCCUUGCAAGUAACUUUGCGGAUGUUGGAUGUGGUUUCUAUCAUAUUUCUUGCUCCUUGCCCUUUAGGUAGCUCAUAUGAUCAAUAUAUGUUUAACGAGAUCUUGUCAGAUUUUUCAUUUCUGUUUCAAUCCUUGUGUUUUGCUAUGUAUUUCAUACUGCAUGACGCAAACAAGGACUUCAGUAAAGAACUUUGAAGGUUUGCUGGUAUAGGUAUCUUUGCCAUUCCUUCGUUCUUGUAUUUCUUUCAAACCUUGAGAUGGUUCUUGACUGGUAGUUUGGAUUUGGCAUUAUAAGCUAAUUCCCCCAUUCUUCUUGUUUUCUUGAAAUUUUCAUAUUGUUCUUGAUUUCUAGUUUGGUGUUGGUGUGUUAUGGUGAUAUCUCUUUACAACUGUCCAACAUUAAGAAUUUUUGAAGAUUUGAUAUGUGUCGGGAUCUUCUGCUGCAUUGCUUUUCUUUUUUAUUUUCUAAUUUUUAGAAUCUUCUGCAUCACUCUUGAAGCUGUGACAGUUUUAUUUAUGAACACUGAAAGAUCUAAUGUGGCUUUUAUUUUCUCUCGGUUUUUCUAUGAACCAUGUGGUUGUGGGAACUUCCAAGAUCUUAACUUUAGUAAAUUAAUUUAUGUUAAUCAAUUGCUUUUUAGUAUAUUUAAAUUGGUGAUAAAAUUGUGUUGUGUUUUUUUGGGUGGCUUUAAAUUAUUGUAAAUGCUAGCUAUCAUCUACUUCUCCAUAGGCAAGUUACUGCACUGUGUAUGAAAGAAGGAAUUUAUUAGAUGUUUUUGAAAAAACUAUAAAAGAAUAGAAUAUGCAUUGGAAAUAUGUUUAAAGGUAUAAAUUAUAACCUAUUAGCUGAACCAAAUUAUUUGGAUGGGGCUUGAUGUUUAUGGUUAUAAAUGAAACCUAUAUUAUUUUAAAAAAUGGAGGCUUUAACCUGUCUAAUGUUUUAUCAAAAAAUCCAUUACCUUUUAUUAAGGGAAUGUCAUGAAAGAACUAAUUCCGAUAGGUUACUUUGUUAACCUUGAACUCAGCACAUGUGAUUCAGAUGACUGAUUAAGAACCAAUUAUUGACUAAGGCUCAAAUCUUAUAAUCAAAGCACACGUUCCUCAGCUCAUGUAAUGCAUAUAACUUUUGUAAGGUGCUAAUUAUGAUAUAUUUUUUGAGCCUUUUCCUCCCCCACCCACACCCAAAAAUAAAAAAAUAAAAAAAAUCACUUACCCCCUUUGUCCCUCCCUCUCCCUCUCUUGUCUUCUUGUGCAGUUUUAAUUGGACCUUAAAUUUCUCUCUUCUCUGCAUCUCUUGACCACCAUUUCUUUGUGCCUUAACAUUUUUCUUUUCCUUUAUCUUCUAUAUAUGUUCUAAUGCCAAAUUAUUGAUGUGUCUGUGGACAUUGUGGGAAAUUUUGCACCUUAGUUGGGGCGUUCAGAGGAUAAUUCUCCCCCCAUGCUCUUAGCUCUCUCUCUCUCUCUCUUCCUGAAUUCUAAUUCUAAUACAGAUAUCUUUCUUCUGUCAUCUUCUUUGUCUCUUUUAUUGUUAACUCUUUGUUUCUUGAGACGAAUAAGAGAAGCCAAAAUGUUUAACUUUUAGAGGUGAUUAGUUGAUUUCACUUGAGUAGGUUUUGUUGAGAAAAUGAUACUUUCUUGCGGGGACUUCUAUGUUGAGUAAGAAAAGAUGAUAGCUAUAUAUACUAGUUUGGAUCGCCUAAAUUUUUAAUUGUUUUGGGCCUUUUCAGAAGGACAUGGUGAAUUGACAUGCAUUCACCAUAUUAUAUGUUGAAUAAGAAAAGAUGAUAGCUAUGCAGAUGUUUUUUAAGGUGGCUUAGAUGGACCAAAAGAUCGUAACUUAGUAAUGCAAGAAAUGUCCUCUUUUUUCUUUUUUGUUGUUGUUACAUGCAUUCAACAUUCUCUUCAAGGGUUUCCCGAAAUGGUUGGAAACUUUUCCUAUCUUGUUCUUGAUUGAUUAUGUCACGUGGUGUCAGAGCUAUGCAAGGAUUUUUAAUAAUUGAAGAUUUGUGCUGUUUCACUGAAUGUUAUGGUUUUUGGACUUUCCAGUAUUUGUUGAUCCAUUCUGUCACAGGCUUUCUGUCAAUGAUUGAAGUAAUUUUCAUUACAACAAUAUAAGUUUAUUAUUUUUAUGUUCAGUCAUUUAAAAUAAAAUACUUGUUUACUUGAUGAAUUUGAUGUUCUUUGGUUUUUUUCUUCUUUCUUUUGACAUUUUUGCACUUCUUUAAAUUUUGGUUGUCUCAUCUAGUUUAAUGGUUGAUCUUUUUUACUAAUGUUUUAAUAGAAUUUUUGCUUAUUUCAAUUCUUGAUGGCCAUUGGAGUUUCUUCCAAAGUUUUUAUGGUCUGGGUAUCAUAGAGCAUGGUUGUAAUGAUCUUAUGCAUUGAUAACCAUGGACAUUGUAUCAGGUUUGCAGCAACUUGUACACACUAUAAAUUGAAUCGUGCCCUUGUAUGAAUCAUCAAGUUCAUUUUAUACGAAUCGGCUGACUAUGGCAGAUGCUCUUGAUUUAUCCCCCAAGUGACUUCUGAGGUGGACAAAGAGAAACUGAUGCUAUGAUCUUGACAAGUGUAAUCAUGAUCUAAUAGGCCUACCUCUGCUCUGUCAUUGACUGGUUUAAUUCAGGAUUGGUCGCUGCCUCGCCCAUCUCCUUAUGCAGUCAUUUCUUGGAUCCUCUCUCUCUCUCUCUCAGACACACAUAUGAAAGCACAUAGAGAUGAUGACGACCACCCCUUGUUGUAUGAUGAAAUUAUAUUGCAAUGCGAACUCCUGGGAUUGGAUCACAAAUUUCACUUGUGUAUAGAAAACACAUUUUUUUGAGCUAAAGUUUUGAUAAUUCACACAAACUACAUGCAAAUUUGGAGGCUGGGAGAUGGUUCGAUCGACAAGCUCAUCCAGUCUAACCAUUCAAGGAUGAGCAAUGCAAGUGUUUUGAGCUGACCUUUGGGAUUUGAAACCUUGAGGCUUUGCUAGAAUAAAGUUCCCCAGAGGCUGGGUGAGGUGAGAGGGGCUUCUUCUUUGGCUUUAAAUUUGCAUUGCUUAUUUUUUGGCUUUUAAAUUUGCAUGCUAGCGUGUUGGUUGGUGAUUGAGGGUCUUCUUUGGCUUGGUAUCUUGAACCCCUUGCUGACCAAGUAGGAAAUCUCGUUAGCGUUUGGUGUUUGGCGCUGAGAUCAAGUUAAUGGUAUGAAUUGAAAAUA